UGCAGUUCGUGAUAUGACGCGAUAAACUGGCCAUCUGUCACCGAACCGAGCCACAAUUAUAGUUCACAAUACACGGUAGUUAAAGCGGAUAUACGAACACAUAAAGAUGAAACUGGUGAUGUGCGUGAUGAUGAUCAUUCUCCUGACAACGGUCAUGGCGCCGAUGUCUGACGGAAUGACCCGAUGGAGGCGAUUCAUGAGGGUGUUUCCUGACCCUCUUCAAAAACAGCGAGAACAGGUCAGGGAAGAGCAGUGGAUAGAUUUACAGAAGACGACAGGACUCUGAACUUCCGGCGGUGAACAGAAAAUAGGCCUUCUCAGAUGUCUGCUCCGGCGGUAAAAAGAAAAUAUUCGGAUAUCUGCUCGCUUGUUUUGCUGACCUUUCUUUAAUCUAGUUAUUUAUGUCUGUUUAAUAUACCCGCAGACAUAUAGAGAAACAAACAUACACAUAUCCAUCGAUCCAUACACACACACACACACACACACACACACGUAUGUAUACACUAAACAUGCACACACGCACACAUAUUUAAAAUUGUGAAUGAUUUCAACAAUCUGAUGCAGCACUCAUAAUCAUCCUACUGUAAACACCUACAACACUUUCCCAAGUGAUCACGUGUGGUGGGAUUUGUUACAUGAAAAUUACGAAUUUGCAUUAAUAAAAUUAAUAGUGUCAAAAAUC